CCUGCCGUUGCCGGCGACCGGCGCACGGGUGAGUAACACGUAUGCAACCUGCCCGUGGCAGGGGGAUAAGCGGGGGAAACCCCGUCUAAUACCGCGUAACGCGGCCUUGGGGCAUCCCAAGGCCGCCAAAGGGAGCAAUCCCGGCCACGGAUGGGCAUGCGGCGCAUUAGGCAGUAGGCGGGGUAACGGCCCACCUAACCGACGAUGCGUAGGGGUUCUGAGAGGAAGGCCCCCCACACUGGUACUGAGACACGGACCAGACUCCUACGGAAGGCAGCAG
rnacentral:rRNA from 1 species